UAUCAUUUGGAUGUUGGAGAUGAGCCUCGUUACAGAACGGCUGCUGGGAUGAGGUCAUUGAGAAUGGCUCCUCCUCUUCCUCUGAUCUUUCUGCUCAUGAUUGUUGGAGCUUUUGGAACAGAGUGGAGUGUGAAGUACAACCAACAGGAAAUAUGUGCUUUAAAAGGAUCCACAGUGUUUAUGAAUGGAACUUAUACUCACCCAAAAAAUC